rnacentral:rRNA from 1 species
UUCGGACUGUAGGCUGCAACUCGCCUACACGAAGUUGGAAUUGCUAGUAAUCGUGGAUCAGCAUGCCACGGUGAAUACGUUCCCGGGUCUUGUACACACCGCCCGUCACACCAUGGGAGCUGGUAACACCCGAAGUCAGUAGUCUAACCGCAUGGAGGACGCUGCCGAAGGUGGGAUUAGCGACUGGGGUGAAGUCGUAACAAGGUACC